GACCCCGCACAAGCGGUGGAGCAUGUGGUUUAAUUCGACGCAACGCGAAGAACCUUACCAGGUCUUGACAUCCUGCGAACUUUCUAGAGAUAGAUUGGUGCCUUCGGGAACCGGGUGACAGGUGCUGCAUGGCUGUCGUCAGCUCGUGUCGUGAGAUGUUGGGUUAAGUCCCGUAACGAGCGCAACCCUUGUCCUUAGUUGCCAGCACAUAAUGGUGGGAACUCAUGGGAUACUGCCGGGGUCAACUCGGAGGAAGGUGGGGAUGACGUCAAAUCAUCAUGCCCCUUAUGUCUUGGGCUUCACGCAUGCUACAAUGGCCGGUACAGAGGGCUGCAAUACCGCAAGGUGGAGCGAAUCCCAAAAAGCCGGUCUCAGUUCGGAUUGAGGUCUGCAACUCGACCUCAUG
rnacentral:rRNA from 1 species